rnacentral:lncRNA from 1 species
CAGUUUACAUCGAUGUGUGUAUCGCCAAAUUGUUGGCGUGAGGAUAAGUGACGUUUAAUCGUAAAUGUGGUGUUGCCAUGAAAUUGUUGACAAGGAUUUCAACGGACAAGUACAUCUUUCAAGGGAGCCCUGAUCCACCAGGGCCGUGCGAAAGAUGACGAGUCUUCGAACACUGCUCGUAUCACGACUCCUGUUCCCAAGAUUACUAGUUUCCGUUUCUUUUCUCUCUCUGAUAUCAAGUCUAUAAUUAGAUGCAGUUGUAAGCGAUAUUGGUCCGAGUAGUUUAUCAGAAGCAUACGAGAAACAUUGUCAGACGUGCCAAUGUUUCAAAGGAGAGGAUGAAAAAGUUACGUAAAGUUGACUUGAUCUGAUGAAUAGGAAUCACAGAAUUAUCAUAAUGAGUACAUGUCGGUGAAAUGACGGUUAGUAUAACUUUGGUUAUCAUCAUUCUCUUCCUGAGUGUGAUACAUUAUACACGUAUGAAGAGCCGUAUGAUAAGAUUAAAAAAUGAUAUUUCACCAUUAUGCUAGAUGAUUCUCAGCUCGAGAUCGGCUUACCGCAAUAUUAUCUGACCUCCAAAAAUUGAUUUCCAACGAUAUUUACAAAAUUAAACAAGGUAUAAAUCUUUCUUUAACUCCAAAACUCCAUGCCAUUGGAAUAAAAAUUUGGAAAAAAGAUUAGAGCAAACACAGUGUUUACGUUGACAAGUUCCCGUGCAAUAAAAAAAAAAAAAAAAUCGUUAAUAUCAUAAUAGCAAAAUAUCGACUUUAUUCGAACAAAACGAGGACCAACAAACCUAUCACUUUGCGGCCGGCGUAGUGUAUAAAUCGUGUAAGAAGUUAGUGUUUAAAUCAGUUUGUCAAGGUAAAAAUAAUUUCCUCCCAGAACUCAUUGUGAAUUAUAUUAGUGUGAUCAUCCGAAGUAUAUACACGUCCGCUUGCCGCAUAGUUUUCCGAUUGUUCUCGCAUUUCAUGACCGUAGCCGGAAAAAUUUCUAUUCAAAUUUUGUCUCUGUAGUUUCAAUGACUAAGACUCAAAUAUUUACGGAGUUAUCGCACAUAGUCGAGAGCGCAGGGACAGCACACGGUGAGGUAGCAAGUUAGAUACUCGGACCGAGGCGGAGCAACCUUUCCUUCACAAUACAUUCUUAACUAUUGAACCGGGCUGUUUGGCCGGGAAGAUAUUUCCGAGAAUAUUUCAAACCGAAAUACUACUGCAUUUUUUGUGAAGGACAUUAUAUAUAUAUAUAUAUUUCUACAGCAUGAAACUGUAGGUAUGCGAAACGAAGGUUAACGAUGCCCGAGCAAUAGAGAUAGUUUAGCUCGAAAGUGUUUCGUGGACGGUUGAAUUUUCAAAACUAAAAUUCCGGACCAUCCAAAGGGAACCCAAGGAAAUGUAGCUCGAAGAUGUACUAAAAAAAAAAAAAAAAAAAAAACGAUUUCAAGGAAAUCAAUUCACCGAUAAGUGCGGGGAGAGUUUCGGGCCGAGUACAAGUGACGGUGUAAGCGCAAGUGCCAAAUAACUAAGAACUGCGUGCACAGAGGUGCACUUUUUUGGGAUCAACAGAGAAAAAGCUGCAGCUGCAGCAGUUUUCGCUUUCACGAAAAAGAGGCGUUCGAGAGUCUCCAUAACGCCGGCAUUUUGUUUUGCACAAGAAUAAAAAAAAAAUGUUUUUCAAAACUUGAAAUUUUUAAUAAAUCAAUGUCAAAAUU